rnacentral:rRNA from 1 species
CGCGAACGCUGGCGGCGUGCCUAACACAUGCAAGUCGUGCGGAGGGGUGAUGAGCCCCUCAGCGGCAAACGGGUGAGUAACACGUGAGUAACCUGCCCUUGGGAAGGGGAUAACCCUCCGAAAGGAGGGCUAAUACCCUAUAUUGCCGGGGAUCACUAAGAUUUCCCGGUGAAAGGUGGCCUCUGCUCUGCAUGCUACCGCCCAAGGAGGGGCUCGCGGCCCAUCAGGUAGUUGGUGGGGUAACGGCCUACCAAGCCUAUGACGGGUAGCCGGCCUGAGAGGGUGGCCGGCCACAGUGGGACUGAGACACGGCCCACACCCCUACGGGGGGCAGCAGUGGGGAAUCGUGGGCAAUGGGCGCAAGCCUGACCCCGCGACGCCGCGUGGAGGAAGAAGCCCUUCGGGGUGUAAACUCCUGUCGGGGGGGACGAUGUGCCUUGGAAUGAAUAAUUCCAGGGCAUGACGGUACCCCCAGAGGAAGGGACGGCUAACUACGUGCCAGCAGCCGCGGUAAUACGUAGGUCCCGAGCGUUGCGCGAAUUCACUGGGCGUAAAGCGUCCGCAGCCGGACGGGUAAGCGGUGCGUCAAAGCCCACCGCUCAACGGUGGAACGGCGUAUCGAACUGCCCGUCUUGAGGCACGCUUAGGCAGGCGGAAUUCCCGGCGUAGCGGUGAAAUGCGUAGAUAUCGGGAGGUACACCGAAGGCGAAGGCAGCCUGCUGGGGCUGUCCUGACGGUCAGGGACGAAAGCUGGGGGAGCAAACCGGAUUAGAUACCCGGGUAGUCCCAGCCGUAAACCAUGGGCGCUUGGCGUCGUCCUUGUGGCGGUGCCGCAGCUAACGCGGUAAGCGCCCCGCCUGGGGAGUACGGGCGCAAGCCUGAAACUCAAAGGAAUUGGCGGGGGCCCGCACAACCGGUGGAGCACGUGGUUUAAUUCGAUGCGAAGCGAAGAACCUUACCCGGGCUCGACAUGCCAGGGUUGUACCCCGGUGGAAACACUGGGGAGCGUGGGGUUUUCUCACGCGCUCUGGCGCAGGUGCUGCAUGGCUGUCGUCAGCUCGUGUCGUGAGAUGUUGGGUUAAGUCCCGCAACGAGCGCAACCCCUGCCCUUAGUUGCUACCGGGUAAAGCCGGGCACUCUAAGGGGACUGCCGGGGAUAACUCGGAGGAAGGAGGGGAUGACGUCAAGUCCUCAUGGCCCUUAUGCCCGGGGCUACACACGUGCUACAAUGGGGGGUACAGAGGGUUGCGAACCCGCAAGGGGGAGCUAAUCCCAGAAAGCCCUCCUCAGUUCGGAUCGGGGUCUGCAACUCGACCCCGUGAAGCCGGAAUCGCUAGUAAUGGCGGAUCAGCAUGCCGCCGUGAAUACGUUCCCGGGCCUU